rnacentral:rRNA from 1 species
AUAAUGCAGUCGAACGCACAGCGAAAGGUGCUUGCACCUUUCAAGUGAGUGGCGAACGGGUGAGUAACACGUGGACAACCUGCCUCAAGGCUGGGGAUAACAUUUGGAAACAGAUGCUAAUACCGAAUAAAACUUAGUGUCGCAUGACACAAAGUUAAAAGGCGCUUCGGCGUCACCUAGAGAUGGAUCCGCGGUGCAUUAGUUAGUUGGUGGGGUAAAGGCCUACCAAGACAAUGAUGCAUAGCCGAGUUGAGAGACUGAUCGGCCACAUUGGGACUGAGACACGGCCCAAACUCCUACGGGAGGCUGCAGUAGGGAAUCUUCCACAAUGGGCGAAAGCCUGAUGGAGCAACGCCGCGUGUGUGAUGAAGGCUUUCGGGUCGUAAAGCACUGUUGUAUGGGAAGAACAGCUAGAAUAGGAAAUGAUUUUAGUUUGACGGUACCAUACCAGAAAGGGACGGCUAAAUACGUGCCAGCAGCCGCGGUAAUACGUAUGUCCCGAGCGUUAUCCGGAUUUAUUGGGCGUAAAGCGAGCGCAGACGGUUUAUUAAGUCUGAUGUGAAAGCCCGGAGCUCAACUCCGGAAUGGCAUUGGAAACUGGUUAACUUGAGUGCAGUAGAGGUAAGUGGAACUCCAUGUGUAGCGGUGGAAUGCGUAGAUAUAUGGAAGAACACCAGUGGCGAAGGCGGCUUACUGGACUGCAACUGACGUUGAGGCUCGAAAGUGUGGGUAGCAAACAGGAUUAGAUACCCUGGUAGUCCACACCGUAAACGAUGAACACUAGGUGUUAGGAGGUUUCCGCCUCUCAGUGCCGAAGCUAACGCAUU